ACAAGAACACCAGUCAUAUUGGAGUAGGGUUCACCCUAAUGAGCUCAUCUUAAAACUUAACUAAUUACAUCUGCAAUGACCCUAUUUCCAAAUAAAGUUACAUUCUGGUGUCAUAGGGGUUAGGACUGCAACAUAAGAAUUUAGGGGGACACAAUUAAACAUGUAACUUCCCUGGGUUGUUCGAGACUUUGUUUCCAGUCCACAUGUGCAUGGCCCAUUUAAAUGGAAUCUCCAGGUGUGCGUCCAGUCCCUCUCGGAGGCCCCUGGAGAUGCUGAUAAGCACUGGAGUCUCUUCUUACAAACGCUGAGACUGGGAAAAGCAGAUUCCCGAAGAGCAAGCGUGCAAACACACUCUCUCUCACCAACCCUGGGGCAAAAGGCAAUGGGCUGAAUGACCGUCUCCUCCCCACUGAAACACGGUACCACUUGGCAUCAGGGAUACCACGUGUGUCCACAUCUGUAGUGGAAGUGGAGUCAGCCAUACCCAACCAUAUCAAAUGGGUUCUCCAAAGGAAAGCAGAUUUUGUUACCAGAAAGAGGAAAAAUUGCUGAGCGACCCCCAACAGAGAUACCCUUCCACCAUGGUUUCUGCUCAUAUGCCAUCCUUCUGUUGGUGAGGCCUUUUCAGAAGAGCCCAGCUAAAGCGGAUACUCCCACCCUCCAUCACUCUCUAUUCCUCUACCCUAAUUAACUUUUCCCCAUAGCUCCUUUUAAUACUGAUAUAUAUUGUGAUGGUCAAUUUUAUGUGUCAAUUUGGCUAGGCCACAGUACCCAGAUCUUUGGUCAAACAUUAUUCUAGAUGUUUCUGUGAAGGUAUUUUUUUAGAUGAGAUUAACAUUUAAAUCAGUAGACUUUGCAUGAAGCAGAUUACCCUCCAAAAUGUGGGUGGGCCUCAUCCAAUCAGCUGAAGGCCUUAAUAGAAAAACACUGACCUACCCUGCAG
rnacentral:lncRNA from 1 species